rnacentral:rRNA from 1 species
CCUACGGGAGGCAGCAGUGGGGAAUAUUGCACAAUGGGGGGAACCCUGAUGCAGCGACGCCGCGUGAGUGAGGAAGUAUUUCGGUAUGUAAAGCUCUAUCAGCAGGGAAGAAAAUGACGGUACCUGACUAAGAAGCCCCGGCUAACUACGUGCCAGCAGCCGCGGUAAUACGUAGGGGGCAAGCGUUAUCCGGAUUUACUGGGUGUAAAGGGAGCGUAGACGGAAUUGCAAGUCUGAUGUGAAAAUCCGUGGCCCAACCCCGGAAGUGCAUUGGAAACUGGAUUUCUAGAGUGUCGGAGAGGCAA